rnacentral:sRNA from 1 species
GCGCAGGCCGUGCCAACCGGACGCGACGGGAAAUGGGGAACACGGAAAUUUUUCCGGUUUCUUUCCGUGGCCAACGAAAUGGCAGGCGAGCCCCUUAACCGUCCGGCCU